rnacentral:rRNA from 1 species
CUACGGGAGGCAGCAGUCGAGAAUCUUCGGCAAUGGGCGCAAGCCUGACCGAGCGACGCCGCGUGUGUGAUGAAGGCCUUCGGGUUGUAAAGCACUGUCGAGGGGGAGAAAAGGGCAACCCUGAUCUAUCCCUGGAGGAAGCACGGGCUAAGUUCGUGCCAGCAGCCGCGAUAAGACGAACCGUGCGAACGUUGUUCGGAAUCACUGGGCUUAAAGGGCGCGUAGGCGGUCUACCAAGUCGGGGGUGAAAUCUUUCGGCUUAACCGGAAAAGGACCUUCGAUACUGGUAGACUAGAGUGGGGUAGGGGCAGAUGGAACUUCCGGUGGAGCGGUGAAAUGUGUUGAUAUCGGAAGGAACGCCGGUGGCGAAAGCGAUCUGCUGGACCCCUUCUGACGCUGAGGCGCGAAAGCCAGGGGAGCAAACGGGAUUAGAAACCCCUGUAGUCC